CAAUAGCGUAUAUUAAAGUUGUUGCAGUUAAAAAGCUCGUAGUCGGACCUCUGGCAGCGCGUGGACGGUCCGCCGCAAGGUGUGCACUGUGCGGCGCUGCCAUCCUCUCGAGGACCCUUGGUGCUCUUCACUGAGUGCUCUGGGGACUCGGGACCUUUACUUUGAAAAAAUUAGAGUGUUCAAAGCAGGCCUUUUCGCUUGAAUACAUUAGCAUGGAAUAAUUGGAUUGGGCUUCUGCUCCAACUUGCUGGUUCCUGGAGCUGAAGUGAGAAUCAAUGGGGAUUGUUGGGGGCAUCUGAAUUUAGCCGUCAGAGGUGAAAUUCUUGGAUCUGCUAAAGACGGACAAGUGCGAAAGCGCUCGCCCAGGAUGUUUNCAUUGA
rnacentral:rRNA from 1 species